rnacentral:misc_RNA from 1 species
AAAUUAUUUUUUGCGCUUAUCAUAACUGGACAAGAUAAUAAAACUGCUAAAUUGUAGCUUUAAAGAAACAACGUUAGCUCAGGGAUAAACUGGCUGAGCCUGAAGCAGCAGAAUCUUCUUCAUGAUUGGGCGUGCUUUGCACAUGGCCUCUAGUGGUACAGCCUUGGGCAUAGUAAUCCCUUUACCUUCCAUCAUAUCAAUGUUCUUAUCACUCACCCUUUCCCAUUCAAAGCAUUGGAUGAGGGACCCUAAGGUCAACCCUAUUACACGUUGAGCUAAACCAGACCCAGGACAGGACCUUCUUCCCAAGCCGAAUGGCAUAAGUUUGUGACCCUCUCCUUCUCCUCCAUCAAAUCUCUCAGGUUUGAAACUCGUAGGAUCAUCCCAAAUUGUAGGAUCUCUGUGUAUAGUCCACGCAUUGACUAAUAGCAAGGUGCCACGCGGCACGUCGUAUCCUCCAAGAGUGCAAUCAUCAGAUGACAUGUGGGGAACUAAGAGUGGAGCUGCUGGGUAUAGCCUAAGGGUCUCGGAGAUAAUGUUUUGAAGGUAGGGUAACUUGGAAAGAUGAUGUUCAUCUACCAAACAUUCUUGCCCAACCUGAUUUUCUAUUUCAUCUCUAGCCUUCCUCAGUAUGUUUGGAUGGUUGAGUAGAUUGGACAUUGCCCAUUCUAAUGUCACUGCAGAUGUAUCUGUUCCAGCAAACAGCAUGAUCUGAAUGAGCCCUUUGAUAAUCUCAUCAGUAUAAUAAUCGGGCUGUGACUCUUGCAAAGAAAGAAGGUGAUCAAUCAUGGUAUUCUUCCUCUCUAAACCUGAAUGCUCCUUAUUAUUUCUAUGCUCAUCGAUCAAACCCUGGAAGAAUUUAUCUGUCUUUUCUGCAAGACUUAUCACCUUCUUCUUAAAAUAACCACCAUCAAUCCAAUUCAAGAUUGGCAUGAAAUCCCCAGGAUUUGAUACCCCUCCAUAACGCACUGCCUCCUUCAUUAUCUCCCUGAACUUUCUUGCUUCUUCCUCAUUACUUACAUCAUCACCAUAAUAGCUCUUCCCUGCAACCAUUCUAAUCAUAAUAUUAAACGUUAGCUCGUUAAACACUGAUUUUAGCUCUACCUUUGCAUAAUCUUGCAUCGAAUGAUGAGAUAGCUUAGUUAAUUGUCUUUUGAUUUCAUCUCUUCGAAUGCUUAGAAGCAUGUUAAGGCGAUGAGUUGAGAAGAUUUCAAUAGCGCCAAUGCGGCGGAGGUUGCGCCAGUGGUCGCCAUACGGUGCUUGCACUAAGGUAGUGUAGUUAUAAGCUAUGUACUUGCCCACGAGUAGCUUUGGACGAUUAGCAAAAACUAUGUCGUUCUUGGUGAAGCAUUCUUCUGCGGCGGAGGAAGAGGAGACAACAACUACAGGACGACAGCCGAAUCGGAGGAAGAUGAUUGAGCCAUAUUUUUGAGCUAGACUGUGGAGAGUGCGGUGCAUGGGCGGUUUUAGGAGGUUGAGGUGGCCGAUAAUUGGAAUCGCCGGUGGGCUUGGAGGGAGAUUUUUACGUCGGAUUCUUGAUUGGUAGAAUUUUAAAGCUAGGAAGAAAAAAAGGGAAAGGAACAAGUAAAAUAGUGCGCCUUCCAUGCUUUUUCACUUUUCUUUUGAGCGUUUGUUUUCUUGGCAUGGGUACAUAUAGAUGGGGUAAUGUGCAUGCAUGGUCCAAAAAAUCAGCCGUAACCACUUCGCUAAG